rnacentral:rRNA from 1 species
GACGAACGCUGGCGGCGUGCUUAACACAUGCAAGUCGAACGGAAAGGCCCUGAUUUUGUGGGGUGCUCGAGUGCCGAACGGGUGAGUAUCACGUGUGUAACCUGCCCUUGACUUUGGGAUAACUUCAGGAAACUGGGGCUAAUACCGGAUAGGAGCUCCUGCUGCAUGGUGGGGGUUGGAACGUUUCGGCGGUUGGGGAUGGACGCGCGGCUUACCAGCUAGUUGGUGGGGUAGUGGCUUACCCAGGCUUUGGCGGGUCGCCGGCCUGAGAGGGGGGACGGGCACAAGAGGCCUAAGGUACGCAGCAGUCUCGUACAGUGGGCAGUGGUGGGGAGUAUGACACAGUGAGCGGGAGCCUGAGACGACGGCGCCGCGUGCGUAAAGACGUCUUGCGGGUUAAGAACCGCUGUCGCCUGAUACGAAGCGUGAGUGACGGUAAUGGAUAAAGAAGCACCGGCUAACUACGUG